rnacentral:tRNA from 1 species
AAGGUGGCAGAGUCCGGCCAAUGCAAAAGACCUAAGCCCUUUAUACAGAGGUUCAAGUCCUCUCCUCAACUAUG